GAUCAAUCACUUGUGCCUCAUAGCCCGCAGCUUGAACCUCUAUCUGUAUUUGAUUUGGAUAGUCAAUCACUUGUUCUUUACUCUGAUAGUCAACCUGUUGCCGUCUACAAGCAAUGGAAUACUCUAAAUCAGGGAACUGAAUUCGGGCAGCAGAACUAUAUUGGUGGUAACAGUUCAGAAGUUCUUUUACUUGGAGAUUCAGCAACGUCAUAUCCC